UUCCAUUAUAGCUCAAGACUGGUGGAAGGUUGGUUAAACCGUUUGGUUUUCGCCCACUACGACCCGGGUUCGAUUCCCGCAUUGGACA
rnacentral:tRNA from 1 species